UCCCAGAGGAGGCAUCUUGUUCCACUGAGACCCCAAUGCCUCCCGGAGCUUCCCAGCAUACAGUUGGUAUUUGAAAUAUUUAUGGUACUGCUACAUGCCUUUGGGAGCAGUUGACUCCACCAAGAAUGAAGACUUUCUUUAUAAGCCAGAACAGGAUGGGAACAGACCUUGGCUUGGUUCCCUCUGCCCUUUGGUUGACAAAAGGAAGGCAAUUCAUUUGGCAAUUCUGCUGCAAAGGCUGAUGUUUGGCACAGAAGCCCCGUUGUUCAACACCCACCUGCUAGGAUAAUCCAGAAGCAGGAGUAGCAAUCUAACAGGAUGUUCCUUCAUCAGUGAUGCCAUCAGUAAGAGCUGCUGUGUGACCUCAACAUUUGAGAAAAAUGUCUCUAUGUAUCAAGUAAAUGAUUAAAUAAUUUGUGUUUUGCCUA